rnacentral:rRNA from 1 species
CCUACGGGGGGCAGCAGUGAGGAAUAUUGGUCAAUGGGCUUACGCCUGAACCAGCCAAGUCGCGUGAGGGAAGACUGCCCUAUGGGUUGUAAACCUCUUUUGUCAGGGAGCAAUUGGCGCUACGUGUAGCGUUAUCGAGAGUACCUGAAGAAAAAGCAUCGGCUAACUCCGUGCCAGCAGCCGCGGUAAUACGGAGGAUGCGAGCGUUAUCCGGAUUUAUUGGGUUUAAAGGGUGCGUAGGCGGAAUGCCAAGUCAGCGGUAAAAUCGCGGGGCUCAACCUCGCUCCGACGUUGAAACUGGCGGUCUUGAGUGGGCGAGAAGUAUGCGGAAUGCGUGGUGUAGCGGUGAAAUGCAUAGAUAUCACGCAGAACUCCGAUUGCGAAGGCAGCAUACCGGCGCCCAACUGACGCUGAAGCACGAAAGCGUGGGUAUCGAACAGGAUUAGAUACCCGUGUAGUC